UUGUUGUUGCUGUUCCUCGGCUUUCUUCUGUUUGCACGACGCAGUUUGCUUUGUUGCUUAUGAUUUAUGUGCCAAACACACACACACAGAGUUCCGUUCCGUUCCACACACACACCGUAAAUAGUAACUGCAGUCCGCCCAGUCCCAGUCGCAGUCCCAACCGUUCCUCGGCCCAAGUAUUACACGCAAAUUGCACGCAACACGCGAAUCGCGAAUCGCGAAUGGAAAUGACGUCGCGGCAGCCGCCACUCGUGCGUGGAGCGGGGCCAGGGCCUGCCUGUGCGAUAUUUCUGUCACAGGGCACCCAUGUCCGGAGUCCGGAGUCCUGCGUCCGGAGACUCUGCGUCAUCCUUGGCGCGGGACAUGCGUGCACAAGGGACACCGCACACACAGGAACGAAAGAAUAAAAUAAAAAUAUACUCCCAGCCCACCCACUCAUUUCCGUUAUAAUAAUGUGUGAAAGGAUAUUAAUUAUGAAACAAGCGAAUGGCAGGAAGCUCGGGCAAUAAAAACAGCAAGCGACAGCCUGACCAGAAGCCCAGCACACAUCCCCAGACAUGCCCCCACAGCAGCCAGAGAAAAAACAAACAAAAAUGGAGCCCUCUGGUGACGAAGCUACAGCUACCCUGUAACACUCGUAGAGCUAACCAAAUUGUCCACCGAUGGAGGGAAUUUAUCUGCCAAUAAACGUUAAAAUUACUUUAA